rnacentral:rRNA from 1 species
AGAGUUUGAUCAUGGCUCAGGACGAACGUUGGCGGCGCGCUUAAUGCAUGCAAGUCGAACGAGAACCAGUGAGUUCGUAAGAACCCGCUGGGGACAGUGGCGAACGGGUGCGUAACACGUGAGAAACCUGCCCUGGAGACCGGGAUAGCGCGGGGAAACCCGCAUUAAUACCGGAUACCUUCACCGGACCGCAUGGUCUGAUGAAGAAAAGGUCCGCCGCUCCAGGAUGGUCUCGCGGCCUAUCAGCUUGUUGGUGAGGUAACGGCUCACCAAGGCAGCGACGGGUAGCUGGUCUGAGAGGACGAUCAGCCACACUGGGACUGAGACACGGCCCAGACUCCUACGGGAGGCAGCAGCAGGGAAUAUUGCACAAUGGGCGAAAGCCUGAUGCAGCGACGCCGCGUGCGGGAUGAAGGCCUUCGGGUUGUAAACCGCUUUCAGGAGGGAAGAAAAUGACGGUACCUCCAGAAGAAGGCCCGGCCAACUACGUGCCAGCAGCCGCGGUAAUACGUAGGGGCCAAACGUUGUCCGGAAUUAUUGGGCGUAAAGAGCUCGUAGGCGGCUUGACAAGUCGGACGUGAAAACCCGGGGCUCAACCCCGGGACGCCGUUCGAAACUGUCAUGGCUAGGGUCCGGUAGAGGUGAGUGGAAUUCUAGGUGUAGCGGUGAAAUGCGCAGAUAUCUAGAGGAACACCAGUAGCGAAGGCGGCUCACUGGGCCGGUACCGACGCUGAGGAGCGAAAGCAUGGGGAGCAAACAGGAUUAGAUACCCUGGUAGUCCAUGCCGUAAACGUUGAACACUAGGUGUGGCGGACUUAUCCACGUCUGCUGUGCCGCAGCUAACGCAUUAAGUGUUCCGCCUGGGGAGUACGGCCGCAAGGCUAAAACUCAAAGGAAUUGACGGGGCCCCGCACAAGCGGCGGAGCAUGCGGCUUAAUUCGAUGCAACCCGAAGAACCUUACCUGGACUUGACAUCAUGGGUCUACCUGUAGAGAUACGGGGUGCUUUUGCGCCCAUGACAGGUGGUGCAUGGCUGUCGUC